rnacentral:rRNA from 1 species
UUGACUAAGUGAGGCUACCGAACGUUGGAAACAGCGGUUAGGAGCUUACACCCACCCGUGUUUACAUACUAUUGUUGCUUUGGCGGGCCGUGGCCUCCACUGCGGGCUCUGCUCGUGUGUGCCCGCCAGAGAACCAAACUCUGAAUGUUAGUGAUGUCUGAGUACUAUCUAAUAGUUAAAACUUUCAACAACGGAUCUCUUGGUUCUGGCAUCGAUGAAGAACGCAGCGAAAUGCGAUAAGUAAUGUGAAUUGCAGAAUUCAGUGAAUCAUCGAAUCUUUGAACGCACAUUGCGCCCUGUGGUAUUCCGCAGGGCAUGCCUGUUCGAGCGUCAUUUAACCACUCACGCCUAGCGUGGUAUUGGGGCACGCGGUCUCCGCGGCCCUCAAAAUUAGUGGCGGCGCCGGUGGGCUCUAAGCGUAGUACAUACUCCCGCUAUAGAGUUCCCCCGGUGGCUCGCCAGAACCCCCAAUUUUUACAGGUUGACCUCGGAUCAGGUAGGGAUACCCGCUGA